rnacentral:rRNA from 1 species
UCGGGAAUUUUGGGCAAUGGGCGAAAGCCUGACCCAGCAACGCCGCGUGAGGGAUGAAGUAUUUCGGUAUGUAAACCUCGAAAGAAUGGGAAGAAUAAAUGACGGUACCAUUUAUAAGCUCCGGCUAACUACGUGCCAGCAGCCGCGGUAAUACGUAGGGAGCAAGCGUUGUUCGGAUUUACUGGGCGUAAAGGGCGCGUAGGCGGCGCGGUAAGUCACUUGUGAAAUCUCUGAGCUUAACUCAGAACGGCCAAGUGAUACUGCUGUGCUAGAGUGCGGAAGAGGCAACCGGAAUUCUUGGUGUGGCGGUGAAAUGCGUAGAUAUCAAGAGGAACACCUGAGGCGAAGGCGGGUUGCUGGGCCGACACUGACGCUGAUGCGCGAAAGCCAGGGGAGCAAACG